UUCAUUGGAGGUUUCGGGCAAUACCCAAUAGGGGAACUUGGAAGGUUUGACACAGAACAGUUCACACCAAGGUUUCCUGGGAAUGCUGUUUCUCUCACUCUUGGCCUUCCCCAUUGUGAAAACCUAUCCUUAUCAGGCACCCAUCAAAGCUUUCUUCCCAACCAGAGCAUUCAAUUGGGAAGGAGAGUAGAAAUUGGCGAACCGAAUGAGUUCGGAGGCAUUAACACAUCCACACCUCACUCUUCAACUGCCUACGAAAGCAUCAACAUUCAGAACAGAAAGAGGUUUGCAGCACAACUGCUGCCA
rnacentral:misc_RNA from 1 species